rnacentral:rRNA from 1 species
AACGCGAAGAACCUUACCUGGUCUUGACAUCCACGGAAGUUUUCAGAGAUGGAUAUGUGCCUUCGGGAACUGUGAGACAGGUGCUGCAUGGCUGUCGUCAGCUCGUGUUGUGAAAUGUUGGGUUAAGUCCCGCAACGAGCGCAACCCUUAUCCUUUGUUGCCAGCGGUCCGGUCGGGAACUCAAAGGAGACUGCCAGUGAUAAACUGGAGGAAGGUGGGGAUGACGUCAAGUCAUCAUGGCCCUUACGACCAGGGCUACACACGUGCUACAAUGGCGCAUACAAAGGGAAGCGACCUCGCGAGAGCAAGCGAAUCUCAUAAAGUGCGUCGUAGUCCGGAUUGGAGUCUGCAACUCGACUCCAUGAAGUCGGAAUCGCU